rnacentral:rRNA from 1 species
UACGUAGGAUGCAAGCGUUGUCCGGAAUUAUUGGGCGUAAAGAGCGCGCAGGCGGUAUGACAAGUCAGAUGUGAAAGAGGCCGGCUUAACCGGCAAGGGUCAUUUGAAACUGUCAGACUAGAGUGCAGCAGAGGAUAGUGGAAUUCCCAGUGUAGAGGUGAAAUUCGUAGAUAUUGGGAAGAACACCGGUGGCGAAGGCGGCUCACUGGCUCAUUACUGACGCUCAGGCGCGAUAGCGUGGGGAUCAAACAGG